rnacentral:rRNA from 1 species
GCUGGCGGCAGGCCUAACACAUGCAAGUCGAACGAGAUCUUCGGAUCUAGUGGCGGACGGGUGAGUAACGCGUGGGAAUAUGCCCUUUGGUACGGAAUAGCCUCGGGAAACUGAGAGUAAUACCGUAUGUGUCCUCUGAUCGUGGUGGUUGGAGGAGAAAGAUUUAUCGCCAAAGGAUUAGCCCGCGUUGGAUUAGAUAGUUGGUGGGGUAAUGGCCUACCAAGUCUACGAUCCAUAGCUGGUUUGAGAGGAUGAUCAGCCACACUGGGACUGAGACACGGCCCAGACUCCUACGGGAGGCAGCAGUGGGGAAUCUUAGACAAUGGGGGCAACCCUGAUCUAGCCAUGCCGCGUGAUCGAUGAAGGCCUUAGGGUUGUAAAGAUCUUUCAGUUGGGAAGAUAAUGACGGUACCAACAGAAGAAGCCCCGGCUAACUCCGUGCCAGCAGCCGCGGUAAUACGGAGGGGGCUAGCGUUAUUCGGAAUUACUGGGCGUAAAGCGCACGUAGGCGGACUGGAAAGUUAGAGGUGAAAUCCCAGGGCUCAACCUUGGACUGCCUUUAAAACUAUCAGUCUAGAGAUCGAGAGAGGUGAGUGGAAUUCCGAGUGUAGAG